AAAGGAACGUGACAAGAAAUUGGCUGAAGACCCAAUGUUAGAACAGUUAUUUAUUAGAGAUGCUAGUAUUCAUGAGGCUCCGUCAAGUCGCUAGAGGAUUUUUUAAGAAUUGUGGAAAUGAAGGACAAGCCAGUGUCGGAACAUCCCUGGAGCAAAUCUAUAAAGGACAAGUAUUCACAUAAGAUCAAACGCGCACACAACACAAUUAAUAAUAUUGUGUAUCCUGCGCCUAAGAAGAAACGUCGUGAUUCACAACGCAUUAAGUUCACCGUGAUAGGCAACAGAGUGACCAAGGAAUUCAUCUACUGCGCCAAUAUGGUCCAGGGCAUGCAUAAGUAUCGAUCGAGAAAAUUCGACGCGCCUGUUAUAAAAGGUGUGACAGGAGUAGAAUGGCCUCACGUGUUGAACGACCUGAAGAUUCAAUAUGGCAGUCCUGCUCACUGCCUGCGUAGCGAAGUGGCUGUCAUAUAUAACGACGGUUUCCUCGGAGGAGAUCAAGAACUGAAGGACCUGAUAGAAACGAGAUACCUGUAUCAUCUGGUGUUGAAUUACCAGAAAGAGAGCACGCAAAAUUUCGUCAAUUUCGUGAAAGCUUCAGGUAGAUCGUGUGCCUACCUUCAUAUUUCAAUCGACGAGAAGCCGAUAGGAACUUUAAUUUUUAUGUUAUAUGACGAUAUAGUUCCGAAUACGUGCGAGAACUUUCUUCGUCUCUGCAAGCAGACCAAGGGUGGAUAUUCUGGAACUCCAGUGCACCGCAUUGUUAAGGACGGUUGGAUCCAGGGAGGAGGAUUCGCUCUAAAACAGACAUAUUUAACUUGCGAAAACUUUGCGAUUCCAAACGACAAGAGAGGCGUCCUUGGGAUGGCGAAUGCUGGCAGACACAUAGACUGCUCAACUCAGUUCUAUGUAUUGUUACAACCUUCGGAGUGGAUGAAUGCCCGAUUUGUGGCUUUUGGGCAACUAAUUGAUGGUGAAAAAACCCUGCAAGAAAUAGAGAAAGUAAACACGUACUACGAAUCGCCCACUAGUCAGAUUAUUAUUCACAGGGCUGGUAUUCUAAACUUAGACUGCAAAAAUAUUACAAUAAACAAAAACACCAACGAAUAUAUACAAAAACACAUCGAGGAUCUUGUUCAAAUAGCAGACAUUUUCUAUGAGAUGCUCAUGGAACGCGUAUUCCUGGAGAUAGAGUUCAGAAGAAUCGCUAAAUUAGAAGAAAAAGGAGGAGAAAGUGAAGCGAAACCCGGUGAAGAGCAACUCGCUGAAGGUGAAGCUGUGGGCGAAGAUGGACAGAAAGACGUUCGACCCACGAAGAGAUUCGUGCAUAAAAAACGGGACGUGCCAGAAGACAAGCCUCCACCAGAAACACGCUUGUCCAGCAAAGCCAGUAAAUCCAAGUCUCAUUCACGAAUGUCCAGCAGUAAAGUUCGUAAACAUAAGAAUGAAGAUGAAAAUAAGGAAGACGUUGAAAACAAUGAGUUUGACGUUGAGGAUUAUGAGUACGAGCCAGAAGAGUUCCAGUACUCGCAAGUCUCACCCGGGCCUCCUCCCACUCCUAAACCUGAGAAGCCGUAUUACUUGGCGAUGACUGAUGUGCCUUACCCUGGCGAAGUCGACUCUAACUUUGAUUUGAAGAGAUUCCUUCAAGGCGAUUAUUGCUUAGAAUAUGAUUUGGAUCCUAAACGCCCGAAGCAGAUUCAAGAAGUAGAAAAUAAGAAGGUGAAUGUACUGAACGCUAUUUCGGAAAUCAUCGAGUCGUAUAAAGUUUCUGACAGCGAUGAGGACGAGGAAUCAUCAUCAGAAGAGGAUUUAGAUUCCGACGAUGAAAGAGAGAUAAAGAAAUACUUAAAGGACUAUGCUGAACACGUCAGUUUUUCCGGACAUCUAGUAAGGAAGAUAGCGAGGAACUACGUCAAAGAUAAUCCUAUUGAAGAUAAGGAACCACACGAGCGUUUCACAGAUGAAGAGGUCAGGAGGCUUAAAUUGGUCUACACGGAUUUCAAAUCUCGUGAUGUAAAAAAAGUGUCUAUAGCUGCGGAGCCUUGGGAAACUCAUGCUCAAAUUACGCGCAGACCAACAGGCUUCGUACGGCCUAUUGAUCUGUCCAAAAUCGGGCACAUCCAAGAUGCCGAUGAAGAGGAAGAUGGAAGUGAUAAACCAACGACUGAACGACAAAAACGGACGACCGGACAGAGAAAAGUGUCAAUUGCUGUGCCCUCUGAAUCUACCUCUAAAGCUAUAAAACGAAGACAAACAGGCUUCGUGCGACCUGAGGACGUGGCAAAAAUCCUCAAGUACAAGGAGCACAUAGAGCGGGACGACGAAGAUGACGAGGACGUCGAUGACGACGACGACAGUGACGUUGACGGACCGAGCGUUGACGACGAAGACAGCGCAACGAAACUACCUAAAGUUCGAAUCGCCACGCAACCGGCGUCGGCACACCCGACGGUAAAGCGGCCUCGACAAGUGUCUAUAGAUGUCCAUGACGACAAGAACAAGUCGACCAGACCCUCGGUUCUGGUGCGACUUUAUGACGACGUCGCAUUCGAUGACGAUGAGCCUGUACCCACGCUGAAGGAGUACAAGCCUUUGUCCGAAAUUAAAUUAAAAAAGAUGAUGUUAACAACUUCGGCAAACGACGACCUUAUAGGUUACGACUAUCUCAAAAGGGACAUCUCCUACUUCCGACCGUCGUCAACCGACUACUCAGUCGACCAGAUUCUCAAUUUGCAACACGGAAGAAAAGUCCAUAGGAAGAUAUCAUCAGACUACGUGAAGACCAUAGAUCAGAUAGAACGUAGGGGUGAGACGUCGUUGCGAAUGGUAGAGUUCGCCAGGACGCGGCCGUCCCUCUCCGUGUCACAGUAUCAGCUGAAAAAUCAACUGCACGCAAUGGAGGAACAGAGGAGAAAAAUGGAAGAAGAGGAAGAAGCUAAAAAGCAUCCGCAUCAUCAAAAGGAUACGAAGGAUAAGAAACACGCUGGUACAGGAGCGAUGGGGUUACGGUUGCCUGGAGACACGCCGCUCUAUGGAAGUCAUCAGACGUUAUCAAAUGUGGAAGGCGAACAGCCUCAUCUAUUUAUAAAUUGAAAAGAAAUAAGUUUUAUUUUCACAAGACUUACAAGUCUGUAAAUGUACUGUAAUAAUAUAUUUACCAUGUGGAUAUAAUCCAUAAGGAUCAAAUCCUUGGUGACACCUACAUCUAAAUCCUAAAGAAGCCCCACAAAGUAAUAUAGUGUUUUGUUUUGUGUAUUCUUUGAGGAUUUAGACAUUGGUAACUUUACAUGUUUGGCUAUGUUUAGUUUGGAAUAGAAAGUAUUUGAUUUUUA
rnacentral:misc_RNA from 1 species